GGAGUCUGGGCCGUGUCUCAGUCCCAAUGUGGCCGUUCAACCUCUCAGUCCGGCUACUGAUCGUCGACUUGGUGGGCCGUUACCUCACCAACUAUCUAAUCAGACGCGAGCCCAUCUUUCAGCGAUAAAUCUUUGGUCACCAGAUGAUGCCAUCCGUUGACGUUAUGCGGUAUUAGCAGUCGUUUCCAACUGUUGUCCCCCCUCUGAAAGGCAGGUUGCUCACGUGUUACUCACCCGUCCGCCACUAAGCUGCAGAGCAAGCUCCGCAGCCCCGUUCGACUUGCAUGUGUUAGGCGCGCCGCCAGCG
rnacentral:rRNA from 1 species